GACGAACGCUGGCGGCGUGCUUUACACAUGCAAGUCGAACGGUGAAGGUGGAGCUUGCUCCGCCGGAUCAGUGGCGAACGGGUGAGUAACACGUGGGCAACCUGCCCCUAACUUUGGGAUAACUACUCGAAAGAGUAGCUAAUACCGGAUAUGAAGUCUGUAGGCAUCUACGGAUUUGGAAAGUUUUUCGGUUAGGGAUGGGCCCGCGGCCUAUCAGCUUGUUGGUGAGGUAGUGGCUCACCAAGGCGACGACGGGUAGCCGGCCUGAGAGGGCGACCGGCCACACUGGGACUGAGACACGGCCCAGACUCCUACGGGAGGCAGCAGUGGGGAAUUUUGGACAAUGGACGCAAGUCUGAUCCAGCCAUGCCGCGUGCGGGAAGAAGGCCUUCGGGUUGUAAACCGCUUUUGUCAGGGAAGAAACGCUCUGGGUUAAUACCUCGGGGUAAUGACGGUACCUGAAGAAUAAGCACCGGCUAAC
rnacentral:rRNA from 1 species